AACGAACGCUGGCGGCAUGCCUAACACAUGCAAGUCGAACGAGACCUUCGGGUCUAGUGGCGCACGGGUGCGUAACGCGUGGGAACCUGCCCUUAGGUUCGGAAUAACUCCCCGAAAGGGGUGCUAAUACCGGAUAAUGUCUUCGGACCAAAGAUUUAUCGCCUUUGGAUGGGCCCGCGUUGGAUUAGCUGGUUGGUAGGGUAAAAGCCUACCAAGGCGACGAUCCAUAGCUGGUCUGGGAGGAUGAUCAGCCACACUGGGACUGAGACACGGCCCAGACUCCUACGGGAGGCAGCAGUGGGGAAUAUUGGACGAUGGGCGAAAGCCUGAUCCAGCAAUGCCGCGUGAGUGAUGAAGGCCUUAGGGUUGUAAAGCUCUUUUACCCGGGAUGAUAAUGACAGUACCGGGAGAAUAAGCUCCGGCUAACUCCGUG
rnacentral:rRNA from 1 species